ACGCGAGCUGGAACAGAUGCGGGAACAAGAGAAGCGAACGGGGUUUAGGGUUCAUCGGAUCGCCGGCUAGGGUUAGGGUUUUAGGGUUUUUCGAUUUGGGUAUUAGCUUAGGGAUUUAGAGUUUCGUGCUGAUAAUGUGUUAUAAAAGUAAUGGAAAAGUCUCUCUUUAUUCGUAACAUAGAGGUUCCUUAUAUAGGAGAUUACACCGUCAUAGAUAAAUGGAAAGAUUAUAAAUCAUAAUCUCUUGGUUAUGAACCAUCCAUAAUCCGGUUCAUAA
rnacentral:lncRNA from 1 species